AGUUUGAGACUGCCGGAGUUUCGCACCAAUUUUAAGGUUGAAGUGAUAAGUCUCUCGGAGGAUGACAUGGAGUUCGAUAUGAUUGGUAUUGAUGCUUCUAUUGCCAAUGCUUUUCGAAGAAUCCUCAUAGCUGAGGUGCGAGUUGAUUAUGCUCUUUUCGUGAUUGAGCCCUUUGUUUUCUUUUAAUUGAAGAAAUUAUUUGUUGUUCCUUUUCUGUUAUAAUCUGGAGCUUGCUAGUUAGUUUAUCUACUAAGCUAUGUAUUGCACUUGGAUAUCAUUGUUUUGGCUUGCUGAUAUGUAGUGUAAAUAAUGUGUGAAAAGAGGAAUUUCUGUAAUCUUUACUUAAAAAAAUCUUAAGUUUUAUCAUUAAAAAUAAUUGAAUUGGUUACUGGGAUUUAUGCAACGUUCACCCUCUGAGAUUCUGUGCUAGUUAUCUUGUUCCUGCAGAGAAAAAUACUGAAUUUGAAGGUGUAAUAUGAGCUUACUUAUUCAAGACCCUGUUUUUAAAUGAAGAGUGUGAAAUAUGUAGGGUGGGAAAUUUUGUGAAUAUUGUUAAAAUUAAUUAUGUUUAAAGUGCUAGAUAUAAUUGUCUGGUUCCAAAUAUUUUAUUUGUUUUGGGUGUAAAGCUGAACGUGUUGUAUCCAGUACUAGUUUUCUUUCAACUCUUGUGAUAAUGCACGCUUCUUGAUCAUUGUUUCUUAUAUAAACUUCGUCCAAUGGGAUAAAUAUAUACUGUUAAAAGUUUUGGUUGUGCUGAUGGCUGAUCUCUCUCUGGUCUAUCUCCCAACCAUGGCUAUUGAAAAGGUUUUUAUUGCAAAUAACACCUCAGUGAUUCAAGAUGAGGUGCUCUCCCACAGAUUGGGUCUUGUCCCACUUAAAGUUGAUCCAAGACACUUCAAUUAUAUGUCAGAAAAGGAUGAACCCAAUGAGAAAAAUACCAUUGUAUUUAAACUCCAUGCACGUUGUGAGAAAGGGGGGCACGUAUUAAAGUGAAGUCCAAUGAACUAAAGUGGUUGCCCAAUGGCAGUGAGUUCAAACUAAGUACAGAGAAAUCAAAUCAAGAUUCGACAUCAAAGCCAAAAACUUACACUUCUUUCGGUUGUAGUCAGGAUUCCAUGCCAGAAUUUGCAAACAACCCAAUUGCCACCAAGCAUGGGGUAUAAUUCUUGCUAAACUUGGACCCAAACAGGAAAUUGAGCUGGAAGCACAUGCUGUGAAAGGAAUGGGCAAGACACAUGCUAAGUGGUCGCCUGU